rnacentral:rRNA from 1 species
AACGAACGCUGGCGGCAUGCCUAACACAUGCAAGCCGAACGAGACCUUCGGGUCUAGUGGCGCACGGGUGCGUAACGCGUGGGAACCUGCCCUUAGGUUCGGAAUAACUCCCCGAAAGGGGUGCUAAUACCGGAUAAUGUCUUCGGACCAAAGAUUUAUCGCCUUUGGAUGGGCCCGCGUUGGAUUAGCUAGUUGGUAGGGUAAAAGCCUACCAAGGCGACGAUCCAUAGCUGGUCUGAGAGGAUGAUCAGCCACACUGGGACUGAGACACGGCCCAGACUCCUACGGGAGGCAGCAGUGGGGAAUAUUGGACAAUGGGCGAAAGCCUGAUCCAGCAAUGCCGCGUGAGUGAUGAAGGCCUUAGGGUUGUAAAGCUCUUUUACCCGGGAUGAUAAUGACAGUACCGGGAGAAUAAGCUCCCGCUAACUCCGUG